rnacentral:misc_RNA from 1 species
GCAAACUAACAGAAUCUUGUGUAAUAAUUUGUUCUGUUGUGUUGUGGAUAGAGUUUGCGGCGACCGUAUAGUUGCCGCAAACUGUAUAAUCGUUGUUCCGUUGAGGAACAUGGAAAUCGUUGGCUGUGAGACGUUUUUCGGAGCGUUGUUAAACUGUCAAGCGUGACGUUAUGUUUAUUGUCGCCGCGAAAGGUUGUCUGUAUGUUUUUGGAAACCUGGCUUCAGUGUAGCGUAGUGUCGUUUUGGCCGUGUGUCGAAAACGUUUGGCGGGCAGCCUACGGGUUUUUACUUGA